GUCUCGGUAGCUCAAUUGGUAGAGCAACGGGCUGGUAUCCCGAAAUCGCAAGUUCGAGACUCGCCCGAGACG